rnacentral:tRNA from 2 species
GCUGGAAUGGCCGAGUCGUUAAGGCGAGUGAUUUGAAUACCCAAACAUAUCACUUGGUGUUUCACCGCGUAGGUUCAAAUCCUGCUUCCAGCG